rnacentral:rRNA from 1 species
UACGGGGGGGGCAAGCGUUGUUCGGAAUUACUGGGCGUAAAGGGCUCGUAGGCGGCCAACUAAGUCAGACGUGAAAUCCCUCGGCUUAACCGGGGAACUGCGUCUGAUACUGGACGGCUUGAGUUCGGGAGAGGGAUGCGGAAUUCCAGGUGUAGCGGUGAAAUGCGUAGAUAUCUGGAGGAACACCGGUGGCGAAGGCGGCAUCCUGGACCGACACUGACACUGAGGGGCGAAAGCCAGGGGAGCAAACGGG